rnacentral:lncRNA from 1 species
AGUCUGUGUCAGAAAUACAGUCCCCGCUUGGGCACCACAAGGACCCGGCGCUGGGCUGCUUUCCACGGCCCGGCCAACCAGCGCUGCCCACGGCCGCCUGGGGAGCUCUGCAAAAAUGUCAAUUAGCAAUAAAAGUUCUGCAAACAAGCAUAAUGCCAUCUCCUUAUACCUCCCCUGCUGCUCCUCGCAGUCUCACAGUAAUGUCCAGAGCUGAAAAAUGGAUGUUGUGGGCUUCUGCGGCUACUGCCUCUCGGUUGCUGUAAGCUCAGGGUUAUGUUUUACUGGACACGUUGUCCCCUGGAAGUUUGGAUGUCAAAUUGAAAAUAGAGGAGUUAGCCACUGGUGUCCCUUCUGAAGGGAUGUUUUGCAGAUUGGAGUGCCCGUCGUUUACAGCUAAUUCCACUCGGACUCAAGUUAUCUUUGCUUUUGGUUCCUGUCUGUGCUUUUCUCACAGGUGACUUGGGGAUCUCUUAGCUCCUGGCUGUCAUCCACGCAGCUCAGUAGGGGUCUGCAGGCAUCGUUGUCUGCUUCUCCCCACAGUUCUAAUCUAUUUACCUUUCACUGCUGUUCCCUUGAUUUUAAAAAGGAAAAGCCCACACGUCUGAGCAGUGUCUGUGUUUUCUCCAGGUAAUCAAUUACCUAUCUAGGGUGCUGUUUAAUUGCCUCAUCAGGGCCUGUGUAACUCAGAGAGACAUUUCCAAGCAGAAAUCCCUCCCCUGGUUGCUGUGAGGGGAAUCUGCCAAGGCUUUGCCCUUCAUGUGCAGGGUAGAAAGAGAAGCCCAGAAGCCUUCCUAGCCUUGUACCAUCAUCAUGCAGCUCUGAAGGCAGCUGUGUGCAAUGAGCCACCUGGAAUGAGGAGGCACCUGUGAUGAUGACAUUGGUGACAGCUGUGUGAGGGGAGGAGAUAAUUAACAGAGCAGUUAAAUGAGGGACCUGCCAGCUUGCCCCCAUAGUUUUCUGCAGACCUCGAGUGAGUGCAGGAGCUUGUCUGAGAUGGUUUCCCACGACUCCAUACAGACUCCACGUCUUCUGCAGGUCAACCAGAUGGAUGCAAGUCCUAUUGCGCAGAGGAGGUGCGGGGACAGCAAUGCCAGAAGAGGCAGCUUCCAGAUUAAUGUCCGUUUCUCAGCGGUAGAAGUAAAACAUAAUGAAAUGACAGUGAAGCCAGUGCCUGAUUUUUUUCAACCUGGGGCUCCAAACCAGAUGAAAUUGCGAGCAUCCCUAUUCAAUGAACAGGCAAAGAAAGGGCAGCAAAAAUGCUGGCGCCAAGCAAAUGCCAAAACCUUGCCUGAAAAAGCCUGGGGACAAAAACAUUCGAUCUGGAGAGAGAGAGCUGAGCUGAGCAAGCUGUGCCACUGGAAAGGAGAGGGUCUAAAAAACCCCAUCCAUUUCUGCAAGAUCCAAACACAAGCACAGAAUCCCAGACAGAGCGAUUCUGGCUUCUCUCUCGCAGCCAGGGGCAAGGAAACACCAGGAGCCUGGCCAGCAGCCGGAGGCUGUGUAAUUAGAGCAAAGCCGGCUGUGCCGGGCCUAGCGGUGGCUGACAGCCCCGUGGCACAGCCGUGCUGCACGCUUCCAGCCCCGAGCUGGGAUCCCUUCUGGCGAGCAGCUUUCCCCUCUGUCAGCUUGAGAUCUCCUGGGUGUUACUCUGCAAGCUGGUUAGUUUAG